GACGAACGCUGGCGGCGUGCUUAACACAUGCAAGUCGAACGCUGAAGCUCGGUGCUUGCACUGGGUGGAUGAGUGGCGAACGGGUGGGUAAUACGUGAGUAACCUGCCCUUGACUCUGGGAUAAGCCUGGGAAACUAGGUCUAAUACUGGAUACGACAUGUCACCGCAUGGUGGUGUGUGGAAAGGGUUUUACUGGUUUUGGAUGGGCUCACGGCCUAUCAGCUUGUUGGUGGGGUAAUGGCUCACCAAGGCGACGACGGGUAGCCGGCCUGAGAGGGUGACCGGCCACACUGGGACUGAGACACGGCCCAGACUCCUACGGGAGGCAGCAGUGGGGAAUAUUGCACAAUGGGCGGAAGCCUGAUGCAGCGACGCCGCGUGAGGGAUGACGGCCUUCGGGUUGUAAACCUCUUUCAGCACGGAAGAAGCGAAAGUGACGGUACGUGCAGAAGAAGCGCCGGCUAACUACGUG
rnacentral:rRNA from 1 species